GUGCUUGCUAAGGCAGCACAUAUACUAAAAUUGGAUCGAUACAGAGAAGAUUAGCAUGACCCUUUGAUCUAGUGUGCCUCGUAGUCUUUGUUGUAUCUCAUUCCU